rnacentral:lncRNA from 1 species
UGACUGUNCUUUCUGGUCAGGGAAAAUGAAAAAUCUUUCUAUGAUGAUGAGACAGAUAAUUACAAUAUGGAAUUAAUGAUUCUUUAAGAACACAGCUAAAUUCAAACAACGAAGGAUUUCAUUAAAGCCAGGAUAAAAAAGAGUCAGUGCUUUCUGAAAACCUCGGUAGAAACAACAUGGAAUUAGAGUUUCACACUCCAACUUCUACAGAAUGAGACUCACUUCUUUUGUACAACNCAUUAUCAAACCAUGUCAAAAAAAUUUGUCCCACNAAUGGAAGCUAACUGAGCCGAGCUCUUCUCGCUGCUUCUUGUUGUAAAACAACGAUGUCCAGCAUUUAUGAGGCUCCUGAGCCUAAAAGUAUCAGGUCAACAUACGAAAAUUUUCGAGAGAUGCCAAGGGAUUCUAGCAGAGGCAACUCUCUAAGGACAUGUCUUCCUGAUCGAUCUCAAGAUGACCACGAUGUCAAACAGAAGAUGAAGUGUACACUAUCUACGCGCCAUGACUCGAGGCACACCAAAGACAGGCACAAGAGCACAGCGAAAUAGAUGAGACAGCAAAGGAUCUCCAAUGUCCUCCUGCACCUCGUAUACCUGAUGGACGUCAGCUUGGGCGUGACAAUCAGCAGGACCUACAGAACGAAGGAGUUCUUUUGAUUAGAAGAGUUAAAAUACCAGUAGAGCAAAAUGAGCGUGACGUCGUACUUGAGCCCCAAUUAACAAUAAUGAGACCAAUUGCCCAGGAUUCAGGCUCAGGACCAAACAUGGAACCAGUCUUCGACCAAGACAACUUAUACCUGCUCUUUCAUGAGCAUUUCCAAGAAGCAAUUGUGGAAGAGCUAGGUUGAUUAAAGCUGUGUACUAGUAUGAUACGUUCUAUGUACAAACACUGAUUUAUAUAUAGUUUGAUACAAUCGUUGAAUUUUGUAGGCGCUGUAAGGUGGGG